UACGUAGGGGGCAAGCGUUGUCCGGAUUUAUUGGGCGUAAAGAGCGUGUAGGCGGCUUUACAGGUCCGUUGUGAAAACUCGAGGCUCAACCUCGAGACGCCGGUGGAAACCGUAAGGCUAGAGUCCGGAAGAGGAGAGUGGAAUUCCUGGUGUAGCGGUGAAAUGCGCAGAUAUCAGGAGGAACACCCGGUGGCGAAAGGCGGGCUCUC
rnacentral:rRNA from 1 species